rnacentral:rRNA from 1 species
UACAGAGGGUGCAAGCGUUGUUCGGAAUUAUUGGGCGUAAAGCGCGUGUAGGCGGCUUUGCAAGUCGGGUGUGAAAGCCCUCAGCUCAACUGAGGAAGUGCGCCCGAAACUGCAGAGCUUGAGUGCCGGAGAGGAUGGCGGAAUUCCCCAAGUAGAGGUGAAAUUCGUAGAUAUGGGGAGGAACACCGGUGGCGAAGGCGGCCAUCUGGACGAUAACUGACGCUGAGACGCGAAAGCGUGGGGAGCAAACAGG